rnacentral:lncRNA from 1 species
AACAUCUCUGGAAUUCCUUUUUCAUAAGGCAUUAGUGGACACAUCACAGUUCAUGGGAGACAGUAAGCUGAAUUUGGAGAGCCAGAAAUCUAAGUUGGCUGCUUCUGUGGUAUUCCUACAUCUUCCCUCUGAUGACUGUAAAGAGAACAUGGUGCUUUGGAUUCCUGAUGUUCAGCUACUUAUAAGGAUCGUCCAGAGAUGAUACGUCUAGACUGUUUCUGUCUUACAUGGGUUCAGACAGUGAUCUUUGGUCAUCACUUGCUUUGUGUGGAGGAGUGUGACAAAAAGAUAUUCAAGAUGUAUCAACUAACUUCUGAGUUUCCAUCAACAUUCAUUGAAGCAGCUUCAGAGACUGAUAUACCUCAGAGAGAAAAAUAUAUUAAGUAUUCUCUCAAAACAAUGACAUUUAUGUUUCAGCAGAGCAUUAGGGACUCAGUUUAGGGACCAAGCCCAUUCCUACUGAAGUCAGUGAGAUAGCCCUAUUAAUUUCCUUGCAGAAAUACCAGGCUCUAACACUGAACAGAGCUGAAUCAAAGACGUUACCUUUCAUAGUAACACACAAGGAAGAUGUGGAAUGAAUGUUCUGUUCCUUAUGCUCAGAUUUGCCUAAUUUUUAUAUAUAAGUCUAUAUAAGUCUUCUCUAAGUUUAAGGGUAUUUUUAAUUCUCUCUGUCUCUCUCUCUCUUUUUUUUUUUUUUAACCAUACACAGUUAUCCAACUUGUCUGAUUCUGAUUUCAGAUUGAUUAAAAAGACAAAACUAGAAUCUGUCUGAAAGAGCAGUUAUACAGUUGUAGUAAGUGAAUAUAAAAGAGAUGAUAUGUAAGUACUAAAAGUUAUUCUGUCUCACAGGGUUAUCCAUAAUGCUGUAUUGCCAAUUAUUUCAAAGGCUGUUGAUAUAGAUAGGUAUCAAAUACUGCUUUAGCCCGUUUUAUAUAGGGUACCAAAUAGCCUUCAUAAAAUGAGUUAAGAUAGUGACACAUACAGGCUGAAUUUGAAUCUCAAGCUUCUGGACAAAAACAAACAAACAAAAAAUGCACAAACCUCAACCUCCCUCUUCUGCUCUGUUUCAUCUGUUUUGUCUCUUAUAUUAUUGCUAGACGUUAUCCUUUAUAAACAUGUCUGAGGCUACCAGGCAAUAACAUUAUUUUUUUUUGACAACACCUUGUCAAAUACUUUUUAUUGAGAGUCUUGUCAGGUUAACAUCACUUCUACAAGCCUAUGGUGUUGAUAUAAGAAGUCUCUUCAAGUCUCAAUUUUCAUAUGCUGUGCUCAGAAUCACUAAUUCUUAUGACUCAGAGAAAGAGCUACAGAUGCAUAUGACCACUAAAUAGUUCCACUAGCUCUAAGACCAUAAUAUUUCAAAGGGAGAACCUGAAAAAACGCUGGAUAUGGUGGAACAGUACUCAAUUGGUUUAAUAUCUUCAGAUAUUUUUAAGGCACU